UAGUGCGACAUAAUUGAGUAAUGCGGCAGCUCCUCGCUCCAGCCCCCCCCUCCACCCCCCCCUUUCCCACUUCCCCCCUGCUCUUCUUCUUCCCCGAUCGAUGCAAUAUCAUUAGGGUGAGAGGCUUUGGGGCAGAGCUCGGGGGGCCCGAACCGCUGUCGGUACUUGGGGGGGUCCCGUCAGGCGUCGCUCCGUCCCCACCGGCCCGACCCGGCAGCGCCCCGAAUCCGAAGGGUUGGGCUCGGGUUCGGUGCCCCAUCUCGGAGCCGGCUCCUCUCCCCUUCUUCCCAUCCAUUCGACAGCUGGAUGCUAUUGAUCCCUUCCCUCUCCUCCUUUUUUUUCCUUCCCUUCCCGAGCUCUCUCUCCUCUCUCUUUAAUUCCCUCCGUUCCUCCGGAGGAGCCGCCCGGUUCUGGGGGAAGAGCCCGAAAGGCAAAACGACGCGGCCCCAAAUAAGAGGCGGAGAAGCACCUGAGGGUGAGAUUUAUGGCAUCCAGCGAUCAGGCGAUCAACUUCCUUAAAGUUCUUAAAGGCUUCCAAACAACAGCCCCAUCGCCUGGCAGGUGAAUUAUUCAGUGCCUAUGGAUUCCUCGCGAGCCCUUUCAUUCCGGUCCCAAAUCUUUCCCAGCCCACCCUUUGCCUAUGGAUGUCUCGAUUUUACAACAAUCAAGCGGGAGGCGAAGAGCGUGGCAAUUUCUGCUAAUCGAUUUUCCAUACAAUGGGCCCCAGAUGAUGUUUUAAAAUGUGAGAAACUCAAAUGUGUUGGUUUAAAUAAGACUUUUGCAAUCGAUAGCUUCGGGAAAAAAAAGAGACUUUGAUGCGGCUUCUGGAAGGGGAUUUCGAACGCUUUCGCUUCCCGAACAAAAAACAAGGCAGGAAAAUCCUAAAUAAUAAGAAUAAGAGGUAGAAAGAAAUCAGAAGUUCCUCCUGGCUUUGGAGUUCUUAAAGAGGAAUAAGGGGAAAAUGGGCUUCGGGUCGCUCAGCUCCGUCCCGACCAGACGCUCCGCAGCCCCCGCAGAGAAGCGCAAAAACAGCGCAAAAACCGCGCAGCUCCUUCCGGGGCAGCGCAGCUCCUCCUGCGUUCUGUCCCAAAUCCUUUCGCUCUGGUUUAUUAUCGGGACUGUUUUUUUUCCCCCGAUGUCACCGCGCUGCGUUCGGCUUUUCGGGCUUUGCGGGGAGGAGUGGGGCGGUGGGGCCGGGGGGACCUUCAGCCCUUUCCCCCCCGAUUAUUUCCUCCUUCCCAAAUCCCCGCACCCCCUCACUGCCCUCCCCCUCCCCACCCCCUUUUCUCCCCCCAUAGUGCCCGUUCGAGCCCUCGGAAUCGGCUUUUAUUUAUCUUUUAGAUUUCUUUCUCUAUUCAUUUCCUUGAGACAUUUUCUUUUUAGCCUCAACUUCAGGCCCUUUCCGCUCCGCUCCCGUUUCCUUUCCCUUUCCCUUUCGUCGUAAUUGGAGUUUCUUCUCUCUGGAAAUAAUUCCCUCUCUCCUCAGAAACGCGUCCAGAGGAGAGGAGCAGACCGGGGUGUCCCCCCCCCCCAUCACAACCCCCCACCCUUUUUUUUUGUUGGCAGAGGGGAAAAACCCCUCAACGAGGGGGGAAAGAAACACUGGGG